rnacentral:rRNA from 1 species
GACGAACGCUGGCGGCGUGCCUAAUACAUGCAAGUAGGACGCAGUUGCGAACGGGUGAGUAACGCGUAGGUAACUACCUAUUAGAGGGGGAUAACAAUUGGAAACGAUAGCUAAUACCGCAUACUAGUAGAUGGACCUGCGUUGUAUUAGCUAGUAGGUAGGGUAAUGGCCUACCUAGGCAACGAUACAUAGCCGACCUGAGAAGUGGAGCGGCCACGAUUGUACUGAGACAAGGCCCCGACGCCUACGGGAGGCAGCCGUAGUGAAGCUUCUGCAAUGGGGGGAAACCUGACCGAGCAACGCCGCGGGAGUGAAUAAGGUUUUCGGAGCGUAAAGCUCUGUUGGUAAGGAAGCGGUACCUAACCAGAAAGGGACGGCUAACUACGUGCCAGCAGCCGCGGUAAUAC